UGGUAAUAAAAAUUUUAUAAUUUUAUUACUGCUGAAGAUUUUAUAAAGUCAUUACCAU
rnacentral:tRNA from 1 species